UUUAUAGAACCCUUUCUGCCUAAAAGUUUCUAUAUAAGGAGAAAGAACCCUUUUGGCACAAAGGGUUAUUUGGGCUAAAUGUGCUUUAUAUACAUUUAUUUAAAUGAUUACACUAUUGAACAUUAUAUUUGUGUUUUUACUUCAAUUUUACUUAGGCACACCUUUCAUUCUGAAGAAAACAAACUUAUAUACAUUUUCAAGUUUAAUAGGUUUAUUAGAAAAAAUAAUUGCUGCAUUAUCCUGUAAUGAAAAAAAAAAAAAUCUAAAUUAAAUAUAGCCUACGUUGUUUCUGGAUCUAGGCGCUAGGGGCAGAACUCUGCCAUCUGCUGGUAAAAUAAAAUCCUGUAGGAAUUACUUAGAUUCUGAAAGUCAAUUCUUAUAACCCAACCCUCCAAAAAGAACCAUUAAACGAUCUUCGACAUAAACAGCAAAUAACUUGCAUGUGUAUGCGCUGAUCAGUUCGGUUCUGUACUGUCUGCACGUGCAGUGUCGGAUUUCAGCCGCGCGCGUCUUGCGCGAGUAAUUAGAAUGCGCGUGAACGCAGCAUUUUAAACUUCAACCGUUACGGACGUCCGUUUGAGCUCAGCGCGGAGGACGACGAUUAAAUUGCAAAAAGAAGAAAUGUGGUUUACGGUGCUGUCCGGCCGGGCCUGCGCUAUUCUCCGCCAGGAGAUUGUAUAGAAAACGCUUAAAACGAUGUUUGAGGAGCAGUCAAAUCACGUGAUCACAGCCAGACCGCAAGAGAAACCCCGAAGAACAAAGAGAGGAGAUGCAUUAUGACAUGAAGAUGAAGAAAAGACCUUCAACUGCAAACCAAUGACACAAAAAAGGAUGGACUCUGGAGUGCAGCAUUACUUCAAUAAGAUGAAAAUAACACACUCCUCUAUGAUUCACGAUGUCAAGCCCCCUGAACGCAAAGAGUGUCUGCAUCAAAAUGGACGUGAACCUGAUUGAAAACACAGGAUGUCAAAAGUACCUGUUGGCUGUCUACUUUUUGUUCAAUAUGGAGCAUCCAAAAGCCAGUUUCUUUCAUUCAGCACUAUUUAGCCCUUCUCAGUACUUAAUUUACCAUGGGUCAUUUGUUUUUAUUGUUUAAAUGCUUAUCUGAAUGUUAAAUUAUCAUUUAACGCUUAUGAAUUUAAAAACAAUUCUACUAGCUAGUCUUUUAGUUCAUUUUUUAAGAAACAUUUAUUUAUGUUAACUCUUCUAACUAUUGCUCUAUGAAUUGCAGUGUGUUUUAUGUUGCUUGUGUCAUUGUAAAUGCUAAUAAAAAUGUCUUAAAUGAUUACAUAUUAUGUUGAUGUGUUAUGCCUAUGGGUAUUUAAGUUUUUCUAGUGAUAAAGUAAUUAUAUAAGCAGGUUAAUUCAUAAAAUUUAAUUAAAAUAAAUUAAAAAUUAAAUCAAUAAAAUUAACCCCUAAAAGGUUCUAUAUAGAACAUUUUAGGGGUUCCAUAUACGUAGCGCCUGAUAGAACCUUUUUUGGUUCUAUAUAGAACCUUUUCUUCUAAGAGUGUACACCUCUGUUA